rnacentral:lncRNA from 1 species
UCAACUUUAGAGAGCUUGGCUUGUGGGGUGCCAGUGGUGGCAUUUCCUCAGUGGACUGAUCAAACUACAAACGCGAAGCUGAUUGAAGAUGUGUGGAAGACGGGUCUACGGGUGAUGGUGAACCAAGAAGGAAUAGUUGAAGGUGGUGAGAUCAAGAAGUGCUUGGAAUUGGUCAUGGGAUGUGGAGAAAAGGGGCAAGAGGUGAGAAGGAAUGCCAAGAAAUGGAAGGAUUUGGCAAGGGAAGCUGUGAAAGAAGGUGGAUCUUCUGACAAGAACCUCAAGAAUUUUGUGAAUGAAAUUAUACAGGGUUAUUAGUAAAGAUGCAACACAAAAAAAAAAAAAAAAAAAAGGAAGAAUGAAUAAGACAUGUUUGAUUUGGUGAUAUUUAAGUUUAUAAGUGGAAACUAUUGUUAAAAAUUGAUCCCAAAAAUUGUAUGAUACCAGAUUUUAUUAUGGUUGUCAUAAUUUUUCUCUCCCUAUAAAAGUAAGCAAAAAUGCAUUAGUGAAGAAUGCACAAAAUACAUCAUCCAAAUCAGGAAGAUCUAUCUUCAUGAAAAAUUUUAAAAAAAAAAAUCAAAUUUAAGUGUUUUCUAAAUUUAUGUGUGAAUAAAAUUUUAUUCAUUAAUCCUAGUUAAAAUCUUUCCGCUAGAAAAUGGGAAGGAUACCAUUAAUGUUUUGACACGUUUUUAAAAUGUUUGUCAAACUAAAUUAUGGAAGAUGAAUGUGAAUAUGUCUUGGCAAAUCAAGUUGAGAAGCCUGUCACUUUUUGUCUUGCAAUGAGAGAAUCCUUUGUCAAAUGAAGGUAACAAUAUUCCCAUCGAUUAAUGUUUUGAAAACGAGCCAAUCAAUUUAUGUUUUCCAAUUGGAAAAAUCUAAUGCACCAACCGGUACUUAUUGACCUUCGAAUCUACACUAUUCAAAGGGUAUCAUAAAAUUUCAAUGAUUGAACAAUAGUGUAAAGGAAUGACAUAAGUUGUAAAAAAAAAAAUUGAUACAAGGCAUAAUGGAAUAACAUCGAGGUAGAAAACAAUGGAAUCUCAUAUAUGAUACAAAUAUGUAUUGUAUAUGACUUCAAUACAAAGGAAUGAGAGUUGAAUUGGUGGCACCACUUAAUUACUAUAAAAAAGAUACCAUUUGUCAUUGGAGCAAUAUUUUUUAUUAAUUUUUGUUGAAGUCCAACUUAACAAGAUCUCUCAUUGACAAGAGGAAUCAAACCUAUCAAUUUGGUUUUGAACUCUUCUAAAUUGGAAAUUCUAAUCCAUCUUUGUAAUAUUGAAUAUGUUCUCCUUCGAAAUCAGAUUCACAUCUUUAUCUAUAAGUACAUUCUCAAAUUUUAAAAAUACUCGAAUAAUCAAAUGUAUAAGUGAUGAUUUAUUUCGAAAUGGAUUAUUUUGGACAAAUGACUAUUUCGAUUAGUCUCCUAAAUACUUAAAAUUAGAUAAAUUAAUAACCAAUCAAUCUCACAUGAACAAGUUGUUAUAGAGAGUAGCUUAAACCUCUGCAUAUGAAAAAAUCAAAAGUCCAUUGAUCAUGGAAAAUCCAUUACAUGUAAAAGAAAGUGCGCAAGUUUACUUGGUUCAAACGCUAGUUAUUCUAUGAGACUUAUACCAAUCAAUAAAUACUUUCUUUUUUCACAUCUAUGACAUAGAACACCCCAUGCUCCUUAAGAGACCAUUUCAAACGAUAUUGAGGGUUAGCAAUUCAAAUUCUUGAUCUCUAGUUUUCAUCUGUGAAAGGAUUUCCAAGAUUUUCUUAAGAAAAAGCCUCUUUAAGUGUUUAAGUUAGAAUAAUGACUACUCUUCAUUUUUUCAAAGGUUUUUCCAAAAUAUAUUUUUAAACUAAGACCAUAAAUUUUUUAUUGUAUUAAAUAAGGAAAACAUUUUCAUUAAAAAAACAUAUAGUUCUUUUGUAGUUUUUUUAAAAAAUUCAAAUAUAUAUGCAAAGAUCUUGAUCCUUCCAUAGUGAGACUUGAGUGUCCUUUGUUAAAUGUUUGGGCAUCCAAGGUUGUUUUCCUCAUUUUUCAUAUAAUAUUCUACAUGGCCACUUUCAUGUAGUAAUGGAAACGGGGCGGGUUUGGGAGAGGUCAUUCCUAUAUAUCCCAUUCCCACCCCUGAUUACACAAUUAUUUCCCAUCCCCGGUACAAACCCGAGUCAGGGCAAGUUGAUUGGUUCCACAAAAUGAUUAGUAACCCCAUCCCCGCCCAAUCCUAGAUGUCCAUUGAGCCCUAAUCCUAAUUGAUCAUACUUAAAUGCACUUUCCUUUCAUUGUAAAAUAACGAAAUUCUGAUAAUAUACAAAAUAUGAAAAAAUAAUAUCAAAGUUCAAAUUAACACCACAACAAUCUAUAAUAUUAAACCCAUAAUUAGCAUAAAUGAUUGAAAAUUAAUCUAAAAAGCAAAACACACACACACACAAAUUCACCUUAACAAUGAACCAAACGAGAACAUGGGUCAACAUCAACCAUGGGUUUGAAUUCCUCUUCAGGCCAAUCUUUGAAACAAGACUUCAUCAAAUCCACUACUUCAAAGGCUUUCGCAUUCCUCUUGAGUUGUGUUCUCGAAUAAAGACUUAAAGGUGAUGUUCUAGAUGAUUGUGUCGCACAUAUUUAGGAUAAGAAGAUCGGGGCCUAUGACCAGUUUGAUGUCAUGUUAGAGGAGUUUGGGCGCUGAGGCAUAACCAAGAACAAGAUGGAAUUGAUUUCAGAGUAUUUUAGUUGGUAUGAGGAAGGAAGAAGAAGUGGUAUUAAUCUUAGAGAUAGGGUUUCAGGCAGUGUAUCAGAGGAAGAAGAAGCAACAGCCGUUGAAAUUAGAGCUUUUUCUUAUAUUUCAUACCUGUCCCAAUAGGGAUAAGGCACGGUGGGUUACCCGGGUUACCCACAAAAUUUCCAUCCUUAUUUUCAUGUGCUUUCAAGCAUCCAUUAAUUCCUUUUUAUUUCUAAUUGCGACUGAAAUGUUUAUGUUAGCACACAUUAAUUUGACCUAAGUUCAACUCAAGGUCUACUUACCAAGCUUUAAUUGUAAAGUCUUCAACUUGAACAUGGCAUGUAUAAAUCUCCAUGGUAGUAAAGUAGUUUCAAACAAAUAACUUUUGGAGCAAAAUUUUCAGCUUAAACUAAUAUGCGUCUAUGGCACUCCCUCUCCUGGAAAGUUAUCUCUACCAAAAACCACCUCUAACCAACCUACUAUGUGUCUACCUUGCAAAGAAUAUCUCUACCGCUCCCUGAAAACCGCCACUACUCCCACUCACUCUCUUGACAACUCACACUCUCUAGUUGGCAUCUAGAAUAUUGACAACUCACACUCUCUAUAAUUGUUUUAUCAUUCUUAAAUUUCUUAUAUUUGUCAUUUUUAUGACAAAAAGGGGAAGUAAAAAAAGGGUUUAUUAAGUUUAUUGAUUAUAUUAUUAUUUUUUUCAUUUUUGCUAUCCUAUGCUUUUCAAAAGUUUAUUGUUUAAGUGUGUGUGUGUAGAUUAUAGGAAAUUGACAUCACUAUGUAAGAAAUGGUUUAAACUAAGAUUAGGAUUAGGUUCGAUGAGGUUUUAUGAGAGUUAUGGGAGACCUCACUAUAUCUUUUUAUUUUGUAACAAAAUUGUCAAAUGGGAAAUUGAUUCUUAGGGUAUUUUAUUUAGCUAACAAAUUUGUUCAUUUCUUACUAAUUAGAUGCAACUUACUUCCUUGGGUCUUAUAAAUUUCAAGACAACUUUAGACUUCAUCAAUUUCAUAUUUGGGUUAUUCGUAAAAGUUAAGGUAAGUAUAUAUUUAUGGUUGACAAAGCUUAUAAAAUAUCUAAUACAAGAAAUUAGGAAGAAAAUACUUUCUAUUUAAUUUGCUUAUUUGAACUCUAUUAUAUUUUUAAUUCCAAAAAUUGUUUUUGAUAAGUUUUAAAAUUAUGCUCUCUAAAUUUGUGUUUGAUUCUAAAAAGAAUUCUUGAAAUAUUUUUUAGAAAGUUUUAAAAUUGUGAUUAUCUCUAAAUUAAUAUUUCAUUCUAAAAAUGAUCUUUAGAAUACUUUAGAAUUAGGAAACUCUUCAUAAUUCUAAAAAGGGUUUUAUAAAUAUAAAUCGAGAUAUUUUAUUUAAAAGGUAAGGUGUGGACUUUUAUAAACUCUAAAAGAGCAUAGUCAUUCAUCAAAAGUUUGAUCAUUCAAUUCUCAAAUUUUCAAGAUCUUUUUUAAGAGUGAAUUUCAACUACAACAAAGGUGAGAGAUCUCAUUACAAAACUUUGAUAAGGGCUUUGAGGGAUCUACUAAGGAGCACAGGGGAGUGCUAGAUCAAUGACGUGGAAAAAAUGUGUAAGUGUUGUCAGUAUAAGACCCUAGAGAAUAGGUCCAUCUGAUCAGGUAAAAUUAUAUACUCUUUUCUCAUAUUUAGUGGAUUAUUUAGUAGUCGAGAAACCACCCAUGGUUUUUUACACCUAGUAGGUUUCUAGAUGGAUUUUCCACAUAUUAUAUCUCGUGUUCAUUUAAGUGAUUGAUUUUAUUUAUAUUUCCAUGAGAUUUUUCUUCUCUUUUAAGAAUUAAUAUAAAUGGAUAAACCUAAAAUAAGUAAUACAAUAUCAAUUUAGGGAUUGAUUCAAAGACUACAACUUCUAGGUAGUUCCAUUAUAUCAAGACUGAACAUAAACUUCCUUUCAUAACCUUUUGAUCUCAAUAAAGGGAACAAAAAAUUCAAAUUUCAAAUGUUGAGGUCCCUUUAAUGCAUGUUUUCAGCAUUUUCCUUUCUUUUACCUUUCUUUCUAAAACAGAGCCAUGAUCAAUAUAACCAAUUAAGAGAAAAAGAUGCCAUGAGAAAUCACAACAAGUUCAAAUAAUGACAAAGUGGUUUAAUUGUGAUAAGCAAUUUCCUAGUUGCUCCUCCAUCAUACCCAUAAAAUUAUAGUCCAAAUGUCGAAGUCAUAACCAAAAUGUUAAAUUUCUUUUUCUCCCCCUCAGAGCUAUCCACUAUUGAAGCUUGACAUAGUUUGUUCGAACUCAUUGACAUCAAGUCCAAGUGAUAUAGAUUUUCUCACCUAAUACCAUAACCAAUCAACUAUCCUGUUUGGAUGUCCUUAAACACACAAAAUCCAAGACAAAAGAAUACAAUAUAAGAUAAGGUUGUGGUUAUUUGAAAAACUAGCAAAAGGUUAUAAUUAAAAUACCAAACAACUAAAGUAAAAUCUAAAUUCAAAGUAUUAUUAAAGGUCAAGGAUAUUUCCCCAAUGAUUGGGAUGGAAGUACCAUUGGCAAUAGAAAAAAAUUUGUGAUGACAAUUUAAGAAGUGAAAUAUGUCUAGAAUCAAAUAUCUUAUGAUGUGUAGCACCACAAUCAAUUAUCCAUGCAUAACUAGAAACAAGUGUGGACAUAUUUAAAAUCUUACUACCAUUGUUUGCAACUACUACCAAUAUUAAGGCUUUUUUAGCAACUUCAUCCUUCGUCUUUCUUUGAACAAUUGUGGUAGUAGAGAUUUCUUUGGAAUUCUACUUUUGUGGAUAACGACUAUGAUCCCACCAUUCCGGAUAUUCCACAAGCUUAAAACAUCCACUUAUGUUAUGACUAGUUUGAUUACAAUGAUUGCUUGUAGGUAGACUUGUUUGACACCAUUGGUGGUUUUAGGAUGGUCAAGCUUCGUUUGAUCCUGUUGGUUUUGAGAAGACCAGUUUUGGUUAAACCAAUUUCUAGCUACCAUAGCAAAAGCUUACGAGUUUUCGGACUUGCCUUUCAAAGUGGUGAGAGGUAUUACCUUGCAACAAACCAGAAAAUAACAUUCCUCUAAAUUUUUAACUUGUUCUUUGCACAAAAUCUCUCCAUGGAUUUUUUGAAAAUCACCAUCCAAUAUAUCCAGCUAGAAAUAUGUGUUCCCUUAGCUAUUUAAUAGAUUUUUUGUACACUAUAAUGUCAUCAACAUCCUUUAUGACCACUUUUUAACAAUGGUCCAAUUCUAAAAAAAUUUCAAUCAACACUCCAUAAUAUUUAGAGAGAGAUUUUCUACUUUGUUUGGUCGUAAAGGACGUUUAAUUCAAAGAGAAAACUUGUAAAUUGUCAUUUCCAUCAUAAAAGGCCUUGGAGAAAGCACUCAAGAUUUCAUGGUCGGGUAGUGGGUAAGCAUAAAUAACGCUUCGUAAUUUCUAGAAUCAUGGAUAUGAAUAGCCACCUCUUAGCCUUCUGAUUUUUUUGCAUACCACUUCUCAUAUUCAUCUUCUAAUUCCAUAGGUGACUUUGUCUUGCCACAAAUAGACAAGAGUUUCUCUCUCUUCACAAUAUGCAUCUUCAUCAAUUGGGACCAAACGUCAUAGUUUGAUUCAAUAAGAAUGAUCCUUGCAUUAAAAACACAUUCAAAUUUAAUUACAGAAGGAACUGAUUUUGUCCCAAAAGAUUGAAUAUUUUUUUUCACUCAUUUUGAUUCAUAGAAAAAAAAAUCAUAGAAAAAAAAAAUUGCAGAGAUUUCAAACUUUGCUCUAAUAUUAACUAAAAAUAUGGGGAAUAAUUCUUUUCAUUCUUAAUCUUUGAUGAACCUAUAAAUUUUUAUAUAGAUAGGAAUUAUGAUCAAAAUACCUAAAAUCAAUCCCUACAAUCAAGUUUAAAUAAUUUGUUCACACCAACUUACACCUAUAUAUAUUUUCUCUAAAUUAGGAAAGAAUUAUUAAAGAUAUUACAAGAUUUGUUGACAAUCUCAACAGGUGGCAAAGCCACAUGAAGUAGGAGCUCCCAAAAGGAUUGCUCAAGGAUUUUAUGGUUAUUAUAAGAUGCCCUUAAUUUAAUUUCCAAGAAAGAAAAAAUUUAUCCAUGCCAAAAUAAUAGCAAAAUAAAAGAAAAAGAAAUAGAGGAGGAAAUACAAACAUAAACAAAGUUUACCUUUCUACAAUUUAUAGAUGCAUUUGUUAUAGCAUAUCAAUGAUCAUGAAGUAAUUAACCUACCAUGUUAUUUAUUUUUAUAAUUAAUUAAUUCUUGAAGAGAUUAUAAAUAUGAAUGGAUGAUUAAACCACAUCAAUAUACCACUUUCUCAUAUAAGAUAAUUCAAUAAAACAGAAAUUGUGGAAAAAAAAAAUUAUGGGAUUGACAGUCAAAACAUUAGUAUCAAACUAUUCAAUGUAAAAUCAUGGAAAAUUGGGAGAUAAAAGGAGUAAUGUCUAGGUAAAGGUAAUCAUUGGUAAUAAGUUCAUAUAAAGUAGUAGAAUAUUCUUUGGUGACAAACAGUAAGUCGGUUCAUAUACUUGUAAUUAUAGUUUAAUUAAAUGAACUUAUCAUAUUUUGGAUGUACGAUAUGAUUAAUAUUAUAUAAGUCUGAGAAUAUUACCCAAGCACAAGCAAAUAAAGGAGUUAGAAAAAAAAUUUAAAAAAAAAAACAAUAUAUACAUAUAUUAGGGUAAAAUAUAGAAAAAUUUUAGUUGGAGUUUAAUGGAAUAAACUUAUUGAGGAUUACGUUAGCAUAUCCUGGGUGGAGAAAAUGCCUAGAAUUAUGAUUUGUUUCGACCCUAUCAAUAUUUUGAAUCAAGCCAAAAAUAAAAGAAAAUAAAAAAUAAAAAAAAAAAAUGAAGAUUCAAUUUUAAGGUGGCUGAGAAAUAUGUCAACAUCUCAAUGUGGGGUUAUAGUCUUUUACCAUCACUUUAUCUUUCAAUAUUUCAUUAACAUCUUAUUUUAAUCUCUUGACUCAUUUGCAACCAAAAGUUUUCUAUUUUAUCGGUAAUUGAAUUAAGGUGGUAUUUGUUUUUUUAGCUUAAAGGUUAAUGCAAUUUAUUUUCAAAUUUUAAAUUGUUUGUUUUUUUUAUUUUUUUUAUUUAUUAUUUAUUUUAUUAGCAAUUAUGGUAAGCCUUGAUUGGCAAGUUUUUGGUAAGCCUUGAUUGGCUUGGUAGGCAAAUAUUAUGUUUGUAAUUUGUACAUAUUUUCUUUCUUGUUUAGUUUUACCUUGUUUAGGAGUUUUCCUUGUUUAGGAGUCUUGAUGUAUCUCUUCUCUGUGUAUAUAUAUUGGCAACCGAUGAGAAUAAAAGGACAGAAGAAAAUUGAUCCAGAAUCACCUAGAGUUUUUUCAUGGUAUCAGAGCCAUUGUGAGCUAAACAUACAUCAUCAUGGUUGGUGAUGGGAAGAAAUGAGAUGAUGAAGGGUCCAACUCUGACAAAAAAAUGCUGACCCCCUAUGCAUUGACUUCCAACGAUAAUCCAGGUAAUAUAAUUACCCAAGUUCAACUGAAAGGUGAGAACUAUGAUGAAUGGGCGCGUGUUGUGCGUACUGCUUUGCGAGCCAAAAAAAAUAUGGAUUCGUGGAUGGAUCCAUCAAACAACCAAACAACGAUUCACCUGGUGGGUCAUCAAUCCAAUGCUUGUCUCAUGGGUGUUUAACACCAUUGAACCCACACUUCGAUCAACCAUAUCUUACAUGGAAAACGUAAAGGAACUUUGGGAAGAAAUCAAGCAGCGAUUUUCUAUUGGGGAUGGUCCACGUGUACAACAAUUGAAAUCAGAUCUUGUGAAUUGCAAGCAGGAAGGGCAAGGCAUGGUUGUCUAUUAUGGUCAACUCAAGUCUCUUUGGGACGAAUUGAACAAUUAUGACUCAAUUCCAGUAUGUACUUGUAUUGGGUGUAAAUGUAACAUUACCACUCAAUUAGAGAAAAAGCGGGAAUAAGAAAGAGUUCAUCAAUUCUUGAUGGGAUUAGAUGAAGAUGGAUAUGGGACAGUACGUUCUAAUAUCCUGAGCAUCGAACCUUUGUCGAAUCUAAAUCAAGUUUAUGCUAUGAUCGUACAACAAGAACGAGUAUAGACCAUGACUCGAUCAAAGGAAGAAAGAGGCCGCCCCAUGAGUUUUGCAGUGCAGGUUGGUGGUCGAAACUCAGGAGGUGAUGGAAAAGACAAGACCGUGAUUUGCUCAAAUUGCAAGCAGAAGGGACAUGAAGCUGAUAGUUGUUUUCAACGGAUUGGUUAUCCAAAAUGGUGGGGUGACAGGCCACACACAACCACAGGUGAGCGUAGUGGUGGGCGUGGACGUGGUGUUUAAUAGGGUACAAGUGGAGGACGAGGACGUGGAGGGACUGCUAGAGCCAAUGUAGUUCAAACGUCAGGAACUGAUGGUGGGAGAAGUGUUGUGACUCAUUCUGAUAAAACAGGAAUUAGUGGGUUGAGUGACGAACAAUGGGCCACAGUUCUUACCAUGUUAAACUCACACAAAGGUGGUGUUAAUGAGAGGUUGACAGGUAAGCAAAAUAUUUUUCCUUGGAUUAUUGACACAAGGGCUUCGCAUCACAUGACCGGCACAUAUGAAUGUUUGAAUGACUUGCGUGAUAUUAUGUCUUGUCCGGUUAGGUUGCCAAAUGGAGUAGAGACCAAAGCUUUGAAAAAAGGAACUAUGACUCUUGGAGAAAAAUUGAAACUACGACAUGUUUUGUUUGUGCCUAAAUUGAAAUGCAAUUUGAUUUCUGUGUUGCAGCUUCUUGAUGAUUCCAAUCUUGUUGUUCAAUUCACUAAUAAAAUUUGUGCUAUACAGGACCGCAAUUUGAGGAUGCUGAUUGGAGCGGGUGAACAACACAAGGGGCUUUAUUUUCUCAAGGGAGUCACUCCUAUUCGUGCUUACAAGACAACUAGUAUUGUGUCUUAUGAGCUCUGGCAUAGAAGAAUGGGUCAUCCCUCUUCUAGGGUAGUAGAUUUAAUUUAUGAAGUUGAUAGUGUUAGUAGAAAUGAUGGUGUGAAGAAUAAGUUUUGUGGUAUUUGUUUUAAAGCUCAAAAAACCAAAGAAGUGUUCUUUUCUAGUGAUAAUAAAGCUAAAGAAUGUUUUGACCUGAUUCAUUGUGAUUUAUGGGGAGCUUAUAGGGUUCCUGCUUCUUAUGGAGGUAUUUAUUUCUUGACAAUUGUUGAUGACUGUUCAUGUGCAGUGUGGAUAUAUUUGUUGAAUAGAAAAGAUGAGGUUGCUUGUUUUCUUAAAAAUUUCAUCGUAAUGGUGAGACGACAAUUUGAAAAAAAUGUGAAAAUUGUUAAGAGUAAUAAUGGUACUGAGUUUAUGUGUUUGACAAAAUAUUUUGUUGAACAUGGAAUUUUACAUCAAACUUCGUGUGUCGGGACGGCACAACAGAAUGGGCAUGUAGAAAGAAAACAUCGUCAUAUUCUCAAUGUAGCGAACCCUGCGAUUUCAGGCACAUUUACCUAUUGAGUUUUGGGGUGAAUGUGUUCUUACAACUGGAUAUUUAAUUAACAGGACACCAUCUAUUUUAUUAGAUGGUAAGACACCAUAUGAGAUCUUAUACGGACAAGCCUCCUCCUAUAAGCACAUUCGAACUUUUGGGUGUUUGUGCUAUGCCCAUGACCAAAAUCAGCAUAAAGACAAAUUUGCUAGUCGGAGCCGAAAAUGUAUUUUUGUUGGAUAUCCAUUUGGAAAGAAAGGUUAGCGGUUAUAUGACUUGGAAAACGGCGAAUAUUUUGUUUCAAGGGAUGUAAUCUUUGUUGAAGCAUAAUUUCCAUACUUCAACAAUGUUGUUAACUCUUCCUUGAUCGAGAAUAAAGUCAUGGAUUUCUCUGUAGAUGAUGAGGGCCUGUAUAUGCAGAAUGACAUGGAGGAGCAAUAGGCUUCUGUCUCGGAUGUAGAGCACGAGAUUGAUGUUGAGAUGGGUCAUAAUAUGGAGAUGGCUACUGAUGGGAAUACUAAAGUAGGAGACAGGGGGGCACUGACGUGUCAAGACCUAUGGUGUCUGAGGAACAGUUUGGCAAGGGAAAAAGGGUUAAACAACCUUUUAUUCGGUUGAAAGACUAUGUAACACAUACCAUUCGAGUAAGCCCCUCAGCGAGUUCAUCGUUCCAGUCAAAAUCCUCAGGUACAUCCUAUCAUUUAGCACAUUAUGUGAAUUGUGAUAAAUUUUCUACACAACAUCGGUUCUUUCUAGCAACUGUUACCACAGGGUGUGAACCAAGCACUUAUGCUGAGGCAAUAAAAGAUGAAUGUUGGAGAGAGACGAUGAGAAAGGAGAUACAAGCUCUUGAAGACAAUGAAACGUGGACAGUAGAAGACUUGCCUCCCGGGAAGAAAGCAAUUAGGAGCAAAUGGGUCUACAAGAUUAAAUAUAAUUCUGAUGGAAGCAUUGAGAGAUGCAAGGCGCGCUUAGUGAUUCUUGGAAACAAACAAGUCGAAGGAAUAGAUUACAAUAAGACUUUUGCCCUGACAACAAAGAUGGUCACAGUGCGAAGGUUUCUUGCCGUUGCAGCUGCGAAGGGUUGGAAAUUGCAUCAAAUGGAUGUACAUAAUGCCUUCUUGCACGGUGAGUUAGAAGAAGAGGUAUAUAUGCAGAUGCCGCCUGGUUUUGCAUCUCCAACAUCAAGUAAAGUCUGUAGACUUUGAAAGUCAUUAUAUGGUCUGCGACAGGCACCCAGGUGUUGGUUUUCCAAGUUAGUAGCGGCGCUAACAAGUUAUGGAUUUAAGCAGUCGUAUUCUGAUUACGCAUUAUUUACUUAUGAAGCUCAACACAUUCAACUCAAUGUUCUUGUCUAUGUUGAUGAUCUAAUUAUAUCUGGAAAUGAUGGAACGGAUGUGUAACAGUUCAAAGAUUAUUUGAGUUGGUGUUUUCAUAUGAAGGAUCUAGGAAAACUAAAAUAUUUUUUGGGGAUUGAAGUUGCGAGGAACUCAGAUGGUAUCUUCUUAUGUCAACGCAAGUAUACACUGGACAUCAUCUCUGAGGUUGGGCUGUUGGGAGCCAAGCCGGCUGGGACUCCUCUUGAACAAAACCAUAAAUUAGCACUUGCUGCGAAUUCUGAUUUACGUGAUCCUGGACAAUACAGACGCCUGGUGGGUCGGCUCAUCUACCUGACAAUUACCUAGUCAGAACUGUCUUAUUGUGUGCAUAUGCUUGCUUAGUUCAUGCAGCAACCGAAGGAUGAACAUUGGGAAGCAGCUUUGAGAGUUGUUCGAUAUUUGAAAGCAAUCCGAGACAAGGUAUCCUUUUGCACUCUAAUUGCGACCUGAAACUAUAUGCUUAUUAUGACUCAAAUUGGGCCAGUUGUCCUUUAACACGAUAAUCUUUGACUAGUUAUUUUAUUAUUUUGGGUAAUUCGCCAAUCUCUUGGAAGAGCAAGAAGCAACAUACGGUGUCUCGCUCUUCAGCUGAAGCAGAAUAUAGGUCCAUGGCAACCACAACUUGUGAAUUGAAAUGGUUGAAAGGAUUGUUGUCUAUCUUUGGUGUGAUGCAUUCUGACCCUAUGCAUUUGUACUAUGAUAGUCAAGCAGCUUUACACAUAACAGCUAAUCCCGUUUUUCACGAACGAACAAAGCAUAUUGAAGUUGAUUGCCACUUUGUACGUGAUGAGAUACAAAAUGGUGUUAUUCACACUAAGUAUGUUCAUACUUCCAUGCAACUCGCAAACAUUUUUCCAAAAGCUUUGGGAAAACAACAGUUUGACUUUCUUCUUCGCAAGUUGGGCGUUCGGAAUCCUCAUGCACCAACUUGAGGGGAGGUAUUACCGAUUAUGGUAAGCCUUGAUUGGCAAGUUUUUGGUAAGCCUUGAUUGGCAUGGUAGGCAAAUAUUGUGUUUGUAAUUUGUACAUAGUUUCUUCCUUGUUUAGUUUUACCUUGUUUAGGAGUCUUGAUGUAUCUCUUCUCCGUGUAUAUAUAUUGGCAAUCGAUGAGAAUAAAAGGACAGAAGAAAAUUGAUCCAAAAUCACCUAGAGUUUUUUAAUUUUUUUUUUUUAAAGUUAACUAAAUAAAAAAAUCAAAAUAUUUUACUUUUUACUUAAUACUAAAAAUAACUUUUUGAAACAACCAAAACAUAAUUUCAACAUUACUUUCGUCCUAUUAAUACAUAAUACUUAAUAUAAAUAAAAUAAUAAAAAAAAUACAACUUAAUACUUAAUAAUAUUAAGCUAUAUUUAAAGUUAAAUUGAAUUCUAUUUAAAUUUAACUAAAAAAACAAAUAUCACCUAAUUCUCGCAUUUUGUUCUCUUACAACAUUCAAUUUCCUUCUCUAGAGAUGCUUUACAUUAGGAACCACAUGCCUCUUUCUAUGAACAACCAGCUUUUUGUCAAUUAUAGUUCACAUUCUAUCACUCUCUAAUAAUAUUAAUAUGUAUUUAGAGUUAAGUUAAAUUAAAUUCUAUUUGAAUAUAACUAAAAAACGAACAACAUUUUGUGGUUUAACGGUCCGAAUUGGGGCCUGAUUGCCAGACCAGAGACAAUGUAUGGUCUCUACCAACUAGCAAUCCACAAUCCUCCGACAUGGGAUGUGGGAUGAUUAUAAAUUGAAGACAAGAAGAGGAUCCAGAAUAGCAACAACUGGGCCCAAUUGGUCCAACUGAUCUUCGAAGGCCUACGAAUCAUUCCAUAACUUGUUUAACUAGAUAUUUCUACACCAUAAAACAAUCUACAAUUUUACGAUGUGGGAUGUGGGUGAAUUAUAAAUUAAAGACAAGAAAAAAGGACUUUGCGGUGGAAAAGCAAAGGCUAAACCGCUUGACUAUGCAUCACUUUUGAAAUAUUGUUGUAUAAUAAAUAUAUAUAAAAAUACUAAUAUGUUUUUCAAAUUGUUAUCAUAUCAAACCAUUAAACAAAUACAAAUAUUUACAUUCACAUUUAUUUUUAUAAUAAUUAUUCAAUUAUAAAUAUAAAAAUAAUAUAAAUUAAUUAAUAUAAUAAUUUAAAAUAUUUUGAAAUAAUAAAAUAUAUAAACAUAUAAGUAAAAUUAAAUAUUAUAAUUUUUUUUUCAUCUUAAAUAUACCUUUAAAUUUAAAUAUUAUAUAUGUUCUAUUUAAUCAAAUUUAAUAUAUUUAUAUUUAUCUCUAUGAUAUAAUUUGAUAUAUCAAAUAUAAAAAAUAAAAUAUUAUUAAUUUUUUUAGUGAUAUAUUUUUAAAUUUAUAUAAUAUAUAAAUUAUAUUUACGAUAUCAUCAAUUCGAUCAUGAUUUGACCGUCGAUUCAAUCGUGAUGCGAUCAUCGGUCUGAUCAUUAAAUCAUGAACCAAUAACUUUUUCAGUUUAACGAUGGACCUAAUUCUAAAAACAUUUGGUAUUGUGAUGGGCUUGAACCUAAUUUGAACCCAUGAUCUCUUAGUCGGCUUAUUAAUGGAUCAACUAUACUAAAAAUUUCAAUUUCCAUGUUUAGGAAAUAGAAUCAAUGAGUAAUUUGCAAACAUAUAAAUAUGUCAGUCCUAUUAAUAAGAUUUACUAACAAACCCAAAUCAAAUCUUAUCAUCUAAGAAACCUCAAUCAAAAUCUAAACGUUUAAUGUAAAUCCAAAAAUUAGUACCAAAUGCUAAAAUGAAAAACCAAUUUUAGUGUAUGUUAUUAAAAUUAUAGUAGUGUGCUAAAAUUAAUUAUAAAAUUAUCCUUUCUGAUAUCUUAUACUCAGUUGUCCAAUAUUUAUGAAAGAGAAAUUUAGAUGAUACUCUACAAUAAAAGAUCAUUGUAGAGUAUCAUAAACAUUUUUCUAUAUCUAAUUUAACAAUCGCAUAACUCCAAGCACCCAUUUCUCCUAUUAAGUUGCAAAAAUUCAUGAGCUAACAAAAUGUUAUCAAUUCCAACACUUGAAUUUUAAGAUUUCAUUGGACAGUAAUUUCAUAAAGUAUUUUUAAUAUUUUUAAUAUUUUAAAAUUUAUAUCUUUUAAAUAUUAAAAAUAGCAUAAAUGCUUUUUAAAAUUAUUUCUAAACACACUAUAAAUCCUUUGUAUAUAAAAGUGAUUCUAAAAAAUUUUAUUUGAUUUUGGCACCAACUAAUUUUGAGAAACAAAUAAGUAAAAGAGCUUUUUCUUUUUCUAUUUUUUUUUUCGAUAUCAUUUUUGAAAGGGAGAAUAUUUAAUCUUAAAUUACCUAUUACAUCAUCAAAUAAUUUUCUUUUACUAGAUUUCCUUUAUUUUCCUAUUUCAUCUUUUUGACUCAAGAGAUUAUCUUUACUUACUCUCGCCAUUCAUUUAUUAAAUAUUUUAUUCAAACUAACAAAAUUAAUAGAUAUGUUAACUCGAUCUUAUUGCUUAUUUUUAAGUUAUAUGUUCAUUUUUAUAGUACAUGUAAUGUAAACUAGAGAGAAAUUACACAUUAUUUAUUUUUUUAAAUUACUCUGGCUAUUUUCACAAUGACUUUAAAAAAUUGUUUUAUUAUAUUUCUAGAAAAAAAAAAUUGUUUAAGAAAUUAAAAUGUUUUUAACUUAUUUUCUAUAUUUUUAAAAAUAAUUUUUAUAUGUAGUACUUUAUUUUUAAACAUUUUUUAAAAUAACACUUAGAAAAUGAGUGAAAAAAAAAUUGCUAUAAGAAAAAUAACGAAAAUAACUAAAAGAUGUGUUCCAAAAACACAUUGUUUUAUAUUUUUAAGAAUAAAAAACUCAUUUUUGUUUUUUAGUUACCAAAUGUCUAUUUUCUAAAAUGGUUACCAAAUAAGAUAUUUGUCACUUCGAGUUUUUGAAAUUAAUAUGUAAUUAUAAUUUUAAAAAUUGUAAAAAUUAUAAACACUAUAAAAAUUAUAAACACAACAUAAGACAUGUUAAAAAUGAAACAUAUUCCAAAUGAUGUAAACAUUUUAAAAUUAAAGAUCAAUUUAUAUUGAAAAAAUAAUAGAUUUAAAAUAUUAAUAUCCUCAUUUUGGUUAUUAUUGUGUUCACAAAAAUUUAAUAAUCUAAUGUAUUAAAUAUUGAAAUGUUAAUUUGGAAACUGAUAAUAAGAAUUUUGAACUCUAAAUUACUAAUUAGGAUUAUAAUUUGGGUGGCUUUUUAUUUAUGUUUCAUCAUAAAUAGAUCAAUAAAUAUGAAUCAAUAUUAUUAUAUUCCAAUACAAUACCUCGAAGUGGAUCUCAAAUUGAAUCUUACGGAGCCUAUUCAUACACGACAUGAUUCACGUGAAUGACAGUUUAAAAAAAAAUACUUUUUUGUCAGCGAAAAACGUAUUGGUAAAAUUUUUUGGAAAAAAGGUUAACUCACGUGAAACCAACUGUUGAUAUUUCCAGCCUAUGUUAAACCUAACCCAAGGUAGGGUAGGGAAUUCUCAGCCCAUGUCAAACUUGUGAGCAAUUCGGAUUACCACAGAUCCAUACAGGUUAUCAAAUAAAAAAAUUAUUUCAUAGCCCAUAAAAUAUGAGUUAUAUAAUGAAACAAGAGAUUAAUACCUAAAUAUAUCAAAGUAAUAAAAUUAAUUUUAGUUGCCAAUAAAUAACUAUUUUAUAACUAUUAAAAAUUAAGGUAACGUUGGUUUUUUUGUUGAAUGAAAAAAGUUAAAAUAUUUAACUUUUUCUAUUCAAUUAAAAAUAACUUAUUGGCAUUAACUAAUAUAAUUAAACUAAACUUAUUGAUAAUAAAUUCACUUUAAUUAUGUUGGUGUGGACCUAGCAUUUGGCUCGAUGCGUUCCCACUCGAUGACGAAACUUGCUUUUUAUUUUAUUUGGUGAAAUUUUGAUUUUUAGAAAAAGACUUGGAGUCGUCACUUAUUUUUAUUUUAUUUUUAAAGGGAAAAAUAAAAAUGAAAGAAAAAAAAACUCUAAGUAUGACUCUUAAAAGAAAAACGGGUAUGUGAAAAACCAAAUCUGAGUCCGGGGUCAGGUUACUUAUUGGAAAGGUACAGUGGUGAGCCGUAGCACCCCUCUAAGCCUGUAUACGUACGACCUCUACUAAACGAAUUAAGGGAAUUGUGACAAUUCAUUAAUUAAUUAUGGAUUCCAAGAAAAAUAAUCAAUGUAGAAAUCACAGUAAAAAUUAAUAUACACAAAAAUAAUGACGAAAUCUAAUUAUAAGAAUACACAAAAUAAAUGACAAAAGAAUUAUACAAAAUGAUUUAUUAAACUAAAUAAAUAAAUAGUAAAAAAAAAUAUUUAAAAAAUAGUUUUCAAGAAAUUUCAAAAGAUUUUAUUAAAAAUGAUUUUGAAUGAGUGAUUUCAAUUUAUUUAUUUACAAAAUAUUUUCUUUAAGUGAUUUGAUUCAAUUUCAUUUAUAUUUAAUUUAAAAAAUAAAGUUAUUUACACUUAUUGUAUCAAAGAAUUUAUUACAAAAUUUCAAUUUAGGCACAAAAAUUAUUUUUACUUGUUUAAAAAAAAUGAAUUUUUACAAUUUUAUUUACAAAAAUAUUUCAAUUUGAUUUCAUUUAAGAAAAGUGAUUUAUAUAAAUUAUUUAAAAUGACAUAACUUUAUUUGCAAAAGAAAUUUUAAUUAAAAAAAGAAAAAACACAAAGAUUUAAAUCCUCCAUUUCUUAAAAACACUUUUAAUCCCAUUUUAAUCAAGAAAAAAAAAUUCAUUUAAAAAAAAUAUUUUUAGACAAUUUUAUUAAAAAUUAAUUUUUGGGACGACUUUAUUUACAAAACAAUUUUUUGGACAAAUAAACAAAGAAAUUUUUGGACAAUGUUAUUAAAAACAAUUUUUUGAAUUCUAUUAAAAACAUUUUUUUUUUCUAAAUGCAUUUUUCUGGAUUUUUAUAAAUAAUGAAAAAAAACUUUCUUCUAUUAAAAAUAAUAUUUUAAAAUUAUUGUUUUAUCAAAACAUAAUUACUGAAUUCUUCCUCUCAUUUAAACAAAAUUUAUCGUUUGUUCGAUGUUCAAUUCUGUACACGCUCAAUAAAUACAUACAAAACGAAUAUUUACACAAACUAAUAAAAAUAAAAUAAAAUAAAAGUGAAAAAUAAAAUAUGUACCCAAAUAAACUUACAACAAGUUUCACAUGUCAUCAAUUCGUACUCAACCAACAAGAUUGCAGAGUGGGUUCAUGCAAAAAUAAGAAUAACACAAAUGUAAAUAUCCAAAAAUAUGUAGAGUCCAAAAUAAUUAUUCAAGUUUCAAAUUAGUUCAAUAAAUUUCAAAAAUGGGUCCAAAUUAACAAAUAUAACCCAAUAAAAAGUAUCUCACAUGUUAUAAGCCUAAUUUAAAAUUUUUAAAUUAAUAACCAAAAUAUAAACUCAAUUAAUCAAACCCAAAACAUAAUAAAUUAAAAUAAAUCUCAUUAGGCCUAAAUUUAAUAUCUCAUCAUCCAAGCUCAAUUUUAAUACACACCACAAUUGUCCCAUGUUCAAAUUGACCAAACCCAUAUCAAAUAUUCAAGUCAUCCAACAAACCUCACUCACAUUGUAAGCCCAAAAUUCAUAUCAAUUAACAAGUCCACAUUAAUAAUACAUAUGACCAAAAGAAUUUAAGCUCAAUCUAAUAAGCCUAAACAAAUAUUCAAUUAAUAAACCCACAUUAAUAUUAUAUAUAGUUAAAGGUAAUAAUGUACUAAGCUCAAUCCAACGAGCCCAAACAAAUAAUAAAUCAACAAUAGGCUCAAGUCUAAAUAAACAGUAUACAAUUGAUAUAAUCCAAAUAUCCCAAAUUAAUCACCAAAUAUAAUAUACCCACAAAUCCAAAUUAACAAAUUUCAAAUUAAUUCACUAACAAUAAAUUAAACCAAAUUACAUAUUAAUCUACCAAUAAUAAAUUAACCCCAAAUUUCAUAUUAACUCAAUAAUCCAAAUUUUAUAAACAAUAAUUACUAUUAAAAAUAAUAACAAUAACAAUAACAAUAAGGGAAAAUGAGUGAUACGGGGAAGUGGGAGGAUGAGAGACAAGGGCAGGAGGUCAUUGGCCGAUAGGGGCUCGUUGCUAGUCGGUUAUCUCGCGAUGAUAGUUGAUGACUUUUUUUUUAAGAAAUAAAAAUAAAAUAAAAUAAAAUAAAAUAAAAUAAAGAUAAAUAUAAAUAAAUAAAUGGGGAAAUGAGGAUGGAGGGGGCGCCGAAAAAGAUGCAAGCGUCAAGCCGCCGGCAGUGUGAGAGUUUGGGGAAGGAGAAAAAAAAUAAAAUAAAUAAAAGAGCAGAUGGAGAAGCCGACGGGGUGUGGUGUUGGGAGAGAGGAAGAAAAAAAGGAAAAAAAUGGGGAAGAAGAAAAUGGGUAGACGACCAGGGGGGCGGACUCUGUGGGAAGGGAGAGAAGAAGAAAAAUUCCUAAGUGGGUGGGGAAAAAACGAGGUCGGCCUUGCGUGUCCUCCAAUGAGAGAAGGGCUGGCCUUGCGUGUCUCAAAGAAAAAAAAGAAAGAGGGGUCUUGGAAAAUGGGGGCGGGGGGCCGGGCUUGGACGUAGGUAUGGGGGGUAGGUGAGGAUAGGUAGAAAGAGGAAGAGAGAGAAGAUAAGAGAGAGGAGAGAGAAAAUGAAAUAAAUAAAUAAAAUAUAAAUAUAUAAAAAUAUAAUAUAAUAUAAUAUAAUAAUAAUAACAAAUAAAAAUAAAAUAAUUUAUAAAAAAAAUAAAAACUAAAAAUUAAAAGAUGAAUGUAUAAAAAAACAUAUAUAAUUAGAAUUUAAAAUUGAGCUUAAGAUUAAUAUAAAAAUAAAAUUGAGAUAAAUUUUGGAAUCUAUUAUUGAUUAAUAUCAAUAAAACGUUUUUAGUUAAAUAAAAAAAAUCAAAUAUUUUAAUUUUUUUUAUUUAAUAAAAAAACAAACAUCAUUUAAAUACCUUCAUUUUUAUGUAUUUAUAUUUUAAUAAAAUAAUAUAUAAUAUAAUUAUAAAUAAAUAAUGUGUGGGUUGAGAUUUGGGCAGGUUGCCCAAACCUUCGGUCUACACUGACUUUAAUAUUUUCAAAGUGAUUGUGUAUUAUUUUAACCCAAUCCCCAUACUAAUCCAUUUGAAACUUUGUCCAAGCCAACCUGAACAUCACAUUGGCACAGGUUAGGCAGGUUGGACUCGUCCAGUUGCAGCCAUAUUACCAAGUCCUCAACUACUUUUCAGCAAAGUUGAAUUUAUUUAUUUAUUUUUCCUUGUUGCAAAGUUCUCCUAAAUCUCAUUAGUGUCAAGGGUGAAAUUAUCUUGCCAAAUAGAGGUCAAGCUUGCUAGCCGCAAUUUUAGAAAGAAGUUCAAAAUCAAUCUUGCAUAAAUACUAAAAUGUAAAUUGAGACAAUUCCAUUUUUCCGACCCCUGUCUUAACUUUGGUAAACACAUAAGCUUUAGCCAUCACCAAACAGGCAUCGAAGUUGGCGAUGCCGGCCUAAUUCGUAAUUGAAUUGGAGAAAAAUAUUUGGAAAUGGGAAUUUGAAACCACCUUUAAGAUAAUUUGUCGUGUUCAUCAUGCUCAUUGAGUAUGUGACGUGCAGAGGAUGACGACUAGUUGUCGGCGUGAGAUGACGUAAGAUGCUCCUUGUCGAUGACUAAAGCUUUGAGUAAAACCAGGGCAAACAGCCCACGAGAUCCUACAAAUCGUCACUACAAACGUAUUCCUCCCAUUCGUCACUGCAACACGUCAUAGCCUAUAAUUCCAACAAACAAAUUAACCCAAUUGACCAUUCCAUGUGCUCAUUCUCAUUGCCUGCUGGCCGAUGAACUCAGAAUUCAAUUGUAUACCUCAUAGAAGAUUUUGUUGUAGAAAUAUAAUUGGUCAUAUAUUUACACCUAAACACCUCAAGAACUGCAAAACUUUCACGUCAUUGUAACCUUUAAAUUAUUUUAACUCAAUCGGUUUCUUGUGUCCAACAUGCUACUUGAAUUACAUGUUCUUGGUGCCAUUUUUUUGGUUGUUAAAUAAAGCUAUUGCAGCCCAAAGACAAAAGAAGCUUUUUCAAAAAAGGGAAAAAAAAAGUAUGUCAGUUUUAUAAAAGUUGUCUAAAAUGGCAUACAAGGGUAAUAAUUUAUAUAUAUUAAAUAGAAUUUUGUUUUCACAAGAUGUGUGGAGGAGAAACAGUUGAUUUUAGCAUUAAGAGAAUUGUAGCUCUCACUGUUAUAAACUUGUGGCGAGGCACCUUUGUCUUCAGCAUGAUGCUGGAUUCGGGGAAAAAUAAUGUACGCAAGCCGACAACUAUCAGCCUGUGUGCAAGAGAAGACAACGACAAGUGACCGUGCAUUCAUGAGAUUAGAUGUAAAGGCGCUGGCUCUUAUCAACUAGUCUGACAGCACUUAAAACACAAGGCAAAGGUGCUCACGACGACUACCGCCAAUACGUCAGUACAAACGUCAUAGCUACCGUAUGUACUGUCCACAACUCCGUGCCUUAUUUAAGCGUUCCAAGGCCAUUCCCUACACAAAUUAACCCAAUCAUUCUCUGCAUAGAUCCACGCUCUACCAAGUUUCUAGCAAAUAAUCCUGUACUUACUAUUCAGCAGCCAAAUAAUGCAACCCCAAAUCCUCCUAGUAACUUAUCCGGCACAAGGCCACAUCAAUCCCUCUCUCCAACUAGCUAAGCUCCUCAUACGUGCUGGUGCCCAUGUCACCUUUGUCACUAGCAGCUCUGCCGGUACCCGUAUGUCCAAAUCCCCAACCCUGGAUGGGUUGGAGUUUGUGACAUUCUCGGAUGGCUAUGAUCAUGGAUUCGACCACGGGGACGGCCUCCAAAACUUCAUGUCCGAGCUGGAGCGUCUCGGGUCCCCAGCUCUUACUAAGCUCAUCAUGGCCAGAGCUAAUGAAGGUCGUCCCUUUACUUGCUUACUCUAUGGUAUGCUAAUUCCUUGGGUAGCAGAGGUAGCCCGAAGCCUUCACCUCCCAUCUGCACUUGUUUGGAGUCAACCUGCCGCUGUUUUUGAUAUCUACUACUACUAUUUCAAUGGUUAUGGAGAGCUCAUUGGGAACAAGGGCAAUGGUUCCUCUUCUUCCAUUGAAUUACCAGGGCUCCCCUUGAUCAGUAGUAGUGAUCUUCCCUCAUUUUUAGUGCCCUCAAAAGUAAGUGCACACAAUUUUGUCCUCAAAUUGCAUCAGAAGCAACUAGAGCAGCUCAACCGUGAAAGCAACCCGAGAGUACUGGUAAACAGUUUCGAUGCAUUAGAAUCCGAGGCUCUAAGAGCUAUCAAUAAGUUUAAGUUAAUGGGAAUUGGACCCUUGCUUCCAUCAGCUUUCUUGGAUGGAAAAGAUCCAUCCGAUACGUCAUUUGGAGGCGAUCUUUUCCGUGGUUCAAAGGACUAUAUCCAGUGGCUGAACUCAAACGCUGAAUCUUCUGUCAUUUAUGUGUCAUUCGGAAGCCUCUCGGUGUUAUCAAAGCAACAGUCAGAGGAAAUUGCUCGCGGACUGCUAGACAGCGGGCGGCCUUUCUUGUGGGUCAUAAGAGCCAAAGAAAACGAAGAAGAAGAGAAAGAAGAUAAAUUGAGUUGCGUUGAAGAGUUGGAACAACUGGGGAUGAUAGUUCCUUGGUGUUCUCAAGUGGAAGUUCUGUCACAUCCGUCAUUGGGAUGUUUUGUGUCACACUGUGGUUGGAAUUCAACUUUAGAAAGCUUGGCUUCUGGGGUGCCAGUGGUGGCAUUUCCUCAGUGGACUGAUCAAACCACAAACGCAAAGCUGAUUGAAGACGUGUGGAAGACAGGUCUACGGGUGAUGGUGAACCAAGAAGGAAUAGUUGAAGGUGGUGAGAUCAAGAAGUGCUUGGAAUUGGUCAUGGGAGGUGGAGAAAGGGGUCAAGAGGUGAGAAGCAAUGCCAAGAAAUGGAAGGAUUUGGCCAGGGAAGCUGUGAAGGAUGGUGGAUCUUCUGACAAGAACCUGAAGAAUUUUGUGGAUGAAAUUAUACAGGGUCACUAGUAAAGAUGCAACACAAAUUACAUCAUCCAAAUCAGGAAGAUCUAUCUUCAUGAAAAAUUGAAGUAUAUAUUGUCUAAAUUUAUGUGUGAAUAAAAUUUUAUUCAUUCCUAGUUAAAAUCUUUCCACUUGAAAUGGGAAGGAUACCAUUUAUGUUUUGACACGUUUUUAACUUUAUGUCAUGAUAUGAAUUUGAAUGUUUUGUCACUUUUGUCAAAUCAAGUUGAGAAGCCAAUCACUUUAUGUUUCGCAAGUAAAACAAAUGCGAGAAUCUUUUGUCAAAUAAAAUAACAAUAUUCCCAUCAAUGAAUGUUUUUGAAAACAAUAUUCCCAUCAAUUUUUUGUUUCUCAUUUGGCAAAAUCUAAUGCACCAACCGACACUCAUAGGGUCGGGCUUCGAAUCUACACCGUUCAAAGGGUAUCAUGAAAAUUUCAUUGAUUGAACCAUGGUGAAAAGGACUGACAAGUUAUAAAAAAAAUAUCAUUCAAGGUGUAAUGGAAUAAUACCAAUAUAUAAAUUAAUAUGACUUUAGUGCAAAGGAAUGAGACUUGCACAUGUAACAUCAUUUAAUUGCUAACACAUUUUUACUUACUAUGAAAAGGAACCGUUCUACAUUAUAGAAAUAUUUUAUUUAUUUAUUUAUUUAUGUUUGAAGUCCAAAUUAACAAGCUCUCUUAUGGACAAGAGGAAUCAAACUUAUCAAUUCCCAUUUGUUGUAGUUUUGUUUUGAACUCUUCUAAAUUGGAAAUUUUGGUCCAAC